rnacentral:rRNA from 1 species
UACGUAGGGGGCUAGCGUUGCCCGGAAUCAUUGGGCGUAAAGAGCGUGUAGGCGGCCCGGUAAGUCCGCUGUGAAAGUCGGGGGCUCAACCCUCGAAUGCCGGUGGAUACUGUCGGGCUAGAGUGCGGAAGAGGCGAGUGGAAUUCCUGGUGUAGCGGUGAAAUGCGUGGAUAUCAAGAGGAACACCUGCGGCGAAGGCGGGUUGCUGGGCCGACACUGACGCUGAGGCGCGAAAGCCAGGGGAGCGAACGGG